rnacentral:sRNA from 1 species
CUUUAAAAAACCUUUAUAAAUCUUUUAAAGCCCUUUAAAAUCCCUUGUAAAUCUUUUAAAACCCUUGUAAAUCUUUUCAAACCCUUUUAAAAUCCCUUGUAAAUCUCUUAAAACCCUUUUAAAAUCCCUUGUAAAUCUAUUUCCCGCCAAAAUUUUUUUUUGCAAAAA